GAUGAACGCUGGCGGCGUGCCUAAUACAUGCAAGUCGAGCGAACAGACGAGGAGCUUGCUCCUCUGACGUUAGCGGCGGACGGGUGAGUAACACGUGGAUAACCUACCUAUAAGACUGGGAUAACUUCGGGAAACCGGAGCUAAUACCGGAUAAUAUAUUUAACCGCAUGGUUCAAUAGUGAAAGACGGUUUUGCUGUCACUUAUAGAUGGAUCCGCGCCGCAUUAGCUAGUUGGUAAGGUAACGGCUUACCAAGGCAACGAUGCGUAGCCGACCUGAGAGGGUGAUCGGCCACACUGGAACUGAGACACGGUCCAGACUCCUACGGGAGGCAGCAGUAGGGAAUCUUCCGCAAAGGGCGAAAGCUUGACGGAGCAACGCCGCGUGAGUGAUGAAGGUCUUCGGAUCGUAAAACUCUGUUAUUAGGGAAGAACAAAUGUGUAAGUAACUAUGCACGUCUUGACGGUACCUAAUCAGAAAGCCACGGCUAACUACGUG
rnacentral:rRNA from 1 species